GAAUACCUCCGCUAACGCUAUCUAAAGCCCCACAGGAUAUUCAUUUAUUUAGAGAUAACAGCCUUCUAGGACUCGAUUGUGUGGUAUAAUUGAACCUUUCUCGAGCGAUACCACUGGCACCGACUGAAAAUGCAAGAAGGGGGCGCCGAUUGUAGCAUGUCAGAAUUUGAAAGAGUUCCAAUGUCGAGCAGCCUGAACAGCCGUCACUCUCGGAAUUAUGUGGAAGAUGUGUCCGUGGAAGUCUGCAAUAUAAUGUCCCGGCUGGGGUACGGAGAGGAAAUCAGAUGGAGACGUGUUGAGAAGGUGAGGGUAAAUGACAUGCUGUUUACCGCAAGAGCUAAAAAUAUACAUAGUAAUAUUAAAACUGUCAUCACAGCAGGCAGUAAGGCCGAGGGUCUGGCUUGCUUACUAGAAAGCGACCUUGAUCGUUUAUUCGUGCAUAACAGUGCCUGUGGUGUGGAAGCUGUGGUCGAUCUACACACCAUUCCAGACGAUAUAGAAGUGUUCAGGAUGGAUACACGUGCAUACCCAGGGCACUGUAAGCUGUUACUGGAGGGACUAUCUGGCACAUGUUCUACUGAAAUUUAUAAUGCUCUGUGUCUUGGCGGAAAAGGGAACGCUUUGCUAAGCAGUCAGUUAUUUCUUGAUGAAGAGGCAAAACCCAAAAGUUGGGUUAUUUCAUCGGGAACGCGCGGGGCCUUCACUACCGACGUUAGGAUGAGGUGGAAUAAUUAUUGACGUAGUGCAUGCAAUGAGCUGUCAAAGUCCCUCCAUCCUGCAGAGAUGGGCUCAACGAUCUCGACAUUGGCCGCCACCGGAUGUCGUGCAGAAAGUUGUAUCAUCAGAAUCUUUUCUUACGCCCGUAGGAUUUAAAGGUAGUGAAUAUGAACAUUUAGAGUGGAGGAUUUGCUUUAAUAUAGGUGAAACGGAACUCGUUCACAAUCUUAACGGCACUCAGGCAAAAGUGUAUGUUAUUCUGAAAAUGGUCGUAAAAGAAGUACUGAAACCUAACAAUAAAGAAAUAACGUCCUAUGUGUUGAAAAAUAUUAUAUUUUGACAAGCUGAAAGCAAUUCACCCGCUAUGUUUCAAGAUUGUAAUUUGAUCAAUUGGUUGCAUGACGCACAGGGAAUACUUAGAACUGUAAUAUCAUGUAAACAGCUGUCAUACUACAUGAUUCCGUAAUGUAAUCCGAUGGUAGCGUGUGGAUUGCAGGAUGAACAGCGGCGUAAAUGGGUAGAAUAUAUCAAGGACAUGAUGGAAGAAGGUACGAGGGUGAUACUUCGGUUGCCAAGGAUACGACAGGCCAUUAUAUGUUACCCAGAACCGCUUCUGUGGUUAAACAGCAGAAGGACAGAGCUGGAGAUGCUGGAGCUGGAGUGGCUAAACAGACACGCGCGAUGUAUGGAUGAGAACGAUGAGUAUGAUGACACGGAUAUAAUCCUGCAGGCGAUAUGUAUGCGGCAGAUUGAGAUACUGAGAGAAGUAAUUCAAAGGAUGUUUAUUGAAGGUAGCGCUGUAAAUUAUCGUGAUAGUGAUGAAAUAUUGCGCAGAAUAUUGAUGUAAAACGAAUUUGAUUGAUAUGUGUAUAUUCCCACACAUGUAAAAAUUGAUUGCAUGUAGGCUGUAUCAGAUUUUUCUUUAUUUACUGCUAAGUUGUAGCAAACAGAACAGAACCAGUGAGAUAAUCGUUUCUCAAUGAAUCGUACUUCUAUAAAGUAGGUUGAUUAGAAACAAAAAUGUUAUUUUUUGGUGUGAUGUAAAUAAUAAAUUACUGUUAAAUAUAUAUUAUUUAUAUAAAAUACUAAUUGAGUCCCUUUUGUGAGUUUACGCAUUAUUAUUAUAACAAAAUAAGAAAUCAUUUUUUGUUGUUGAAAUCGAAGAAACAACACACAACGCAUAUUCUCAAUUCAAGAAUGCCAGAUUUCUCGUAUAUUUAAGCCGUAUUCCAAAGCAUAUUCGCUGUGUGUUUCUUGUUUAACUUUGAAAUAGAUCGUCUUCUUCUUAAAGAUGUACGUCUAAGUUUUACACUAAAUGUCCACCGAAAAAUCAAAUAUCCGGUAAUGCAUGCUAAAAUUGAUUAAGUACUCAAAUUAAAUUUCUAAUAAAGUCCCUAUGAAUAAAUCGCAAAAUUUAAACUUAGCGCGUGUGACACUUUGUCGCUCACAUACAUAUCCGAAUCCUUUUAAAAACACAUGUAUUCUUAUAUUUGAAACCAAUGUAUAUCCAUUAUUAUCAUAGAAGCGAAAUAUUUCAUAUCAUUUUAUGACAUAUGUAUUAUUUAACAUUAUCAGUACAAUGUUUUCUUAACCAGUACUUUAGAUAUCUUAUAAAAGACUCAACAUAAAAAGGAUAUAUACCUGUUGACGUUAGCUCAAACUUCAUAAUAACAUAAAUGAGUAGGCAAUUUAAACAAUCGUUUACAAACCUCUAAAUGUUUUCAAUAUAUGACCUAAUUGCGGUUGUUAUGAUCAAUAUUUCUGACCCACUUGAUAAACGGAGCAGAUUUUAGCGUCACUAAUUUUAAAAUAGAGUAUGGCAUGAAUCGUAGUUGCUCUAGACAUAAACAAUUUUAUUAAAUACUCACUAUCUUAUGCAUAGAUAAUAUAUUUGCAAAAAUUCAUCCUGACAUGCCAAUUUGUAUAUCUAGCAUUUUAUUAUAAUUAAGCCAUUUUCAGCCGUUUCUAUCUUUCUACUUUUUUUUUUAAACACAACCACUUUUGUUAAUCCAUCGUGACUUUUAGUUUCGUACUAUUACAUAAAUCGUUCAACAAAUUGAGUUGCUUUUUCAACCCACUAAAAUUUUCGGACAUUAGGGCUACAUCAUUGGAAAAUAUUAAUAAAGAUAGUUUCAUAAAAUAUUGAACAAUUGGAUCCAUAUUGUUUUAUUCUUAAAAAAAACGUAUGGCCUAUUAAUGAACAACUCAAACCGCGUGAGACAAAUUGAAUUACAGUUUAAUUUUUUUUAUUGUUUGAUGUUUUUUUUGCUUCGGACUUAAGCUACAGCUCGGACGUAAUCCGAUUGGGCAUGCAUAAUAAUUUGAAGAGUCUUCAGAUGUAUUGACACACGCUUUAACUGAAUAAAACAAUUCCCGUAUAGAUUCAAAGUAAUAACCAUUAAUUACUCUUGUUCUCAGAAUCUCGUAAAAUGUUGACCUCAAAAUAGAAUAAAAAAACUUAUUGAAAUCUUUAUAUGCUACAUAUAAGGGCUUCUUUUUUUCUAAACCAUAUACGCAUUAUCUAUCCUGCUGGAAUCCGACCUAAAUGAUUCGCGCAAUUUACUAUUUACUUCAGCAUAACAAGUUUACCUCGUCAUAAAAAUGUACAUGUCAAUUUCGUCCAUGCUAUAUAACAUGAUUCAGAAAAAACUGAUCUUAUUUAAUAAUAGUUUUAUGUUAAGUAGCAACUGCUUAAACCAGGUUUUGAAAUAUAUUGGCUUCAUCAGUCCGCCCACAGCCUUAACUGAUUUUAAUGUCGAUAUUCUUUCUAUAAACUCUUUAUCCGUUAUGUGCAAAUUAAAUACACAGUCCAGUAUUUCAUCUGCGUCCUAAGUUUGAAAGUUAUUGCCAGGUUCUUUUGCAUCACACUCAUUGGAAAAAACUUUUUUUCUAAAUAAUGGAAUCACACAUCUACAAUAAAGGCAGAAGUAUCUGGGGUAUGUUAACCUGACAAUUUGCGUAUGUCGGCGCAAACAUUUCCUAGAAUUGUUUAUACUAUUAUGUAAAGUUUGUAUGCUCUCUUUUAUUACAUAUUGAAAUCAUGUGCGUAUGCACACUACCUUAUAUUAACUUGUCCACUUGUUGAACACCUUUUGAUUGUUUUAUAUAUAUUCUUAGCAAAUACAA